CAACAUACUGUCAACAAGCGGACAGACACGGAUAAUCUGCAUGCUGCAUAUGCCGGGAUUUUGAACGAGAUUAAGAACAUAUACACAAGGAAGAAAAACCAAAACAAAAUAAAUAAAAACAAUAACAGUAGGGACAACACACACACUAACACAUAAUGCCAACACCUUAACACACUCACACACUAGAAUGAGUUUUAUUGCCAUAGUUUGCGCGCCAAUGGUAGAAAGUGUGUCGAAUUUAUCCGUGCCCCAAAAAUUCUCGCGUUUCGUGUGGAAACGAACCCGUAUGACGAGCGAAUACCGGAUAGCGGCUGAAACGUGAGUGCACGGAGAGAAAAAUAUUUGUAGAUUUAGAAAUAUUUAUUUGUUUUCUGAAACUACAGAUUACCCCGCUACCAGACAGUUCUGUGCUUGACGGAGCAUCCCCUAACGACAAACACUCCCAUUUCGAUUCCUUGAAAAAGGCCCAAAACGGGUCGAAACGUCGGAUGAAGAGAA